UACGUAGGGGGCGAGCGUUGUCCGGAUUCAUUGGGCGUAAAGCGCACGCAGGCGGUUUCGUAAGUCGGGUGUGAAAACUCCAGGCUCAACCUGGAGACUGCACCCGAGACUGCGAUGACUAGAGUCCGGUAGGGGCCCGUGGAAUGUCCGGUGUAGCGGUGAAAUGCGCAGAUAUCGGACGGAACACCAGUGGCGAAGGCGGCGGGCUGGGCCGGAACUGACGCUCAUGUGCGAAAGCGUGGGUAGCAAACAGG
rnacentral:misc_RNA from 1 species